rnacentral:rRNA from 1 species
GGAUUAGAUACCCUGGUAGUCCACGCCGUAAACGAUGCCUACUAGGUUGUGGGGGUUCUGACGCCUUCACAGUCGAAGCAAAAGUGUUAAGUAGGCCGCCUGGGGAGUACGGUCGCAAGAUUAAAACUCAAAGGAAUUGACGGGGGCUCACACAAGCGGUGGAGCAUGUGGAUUAAUUCGAAGCAACGCGCAGAACCUUACCUGGGUUUGACAUGCUUGGAUGCCAAUCUGGAAACAGAGGAAGCUGCCUUUUGGUGAAACUUGCACAGGUGCUGCAUGGCUGUCGUCAGCUCGUGCCG